UAGGGAAUCUUCGGCAAUGGGGGGAACCCUGACCGAGCAACGCCGCGUGAGUGAAGAAGGUUUUCGGAUCGUAAAGCUCUGUUGUUAAGGAAGAACGAGUGUGAGAAUGGAAAGUUCAUGCUGUGACGGUACUUAACCAGAAAGGGACGGCUAACUACGUGCCAGCAGCCGCGGUAAAACGUAGGUCCCGAGCGUUGUCCGGAUUUAUUGGGCGUAAAGCGAGCGCAGGCGGUUAGAAAAGUCUGAAGUGAAAGGCAGUGGCUCAACCAUUGUAGGCUUUGGAAACUGUUUAACUUGAGUGCAGAAGGGGAGAGUGGAAUUCCAUGUGUAGCGGUGAAAUGCGUAGAUAUAUGGAGGAACACCGGUGGCGAAAGCGGCUCUCUGGUCUGUAACUGACGCUGAGGCUCGAAAGCGUGGGGAGCGAACAGG
rnacentral:rRNA from 1 species